rnacentral:rRNA from 1 species
CCCUUAGAUGUCCUGGGCCGCACGCGCGCUACACUGAGUGUCUGAGAUACGAGUCUGCCUGGUCCGGCAAGGUCUAGGUAAUCGCUAAAAGACACAUCAUGCUUGGGAUAGAUUAUUGCAAAUAUUAAUCUUGAACGAGGAAUUCCUAGUAAGCGCAAGUCAACAGCUUGCGUUGAUUACGUCCCUGCCCUUUGUACACACCGCCCGUCGCUACUACUGAUUGGAUGUUUAAGCGAGGUUCUCGAACUGCUAGCGACUUAGCUUCGGUGAGGUCGCAGUGUGGGAAGUGAACCUAGCUUUGGUGUCUAGAGGAAGUAAGAGUCGUAACA